CUACGGAGGGUCCAAGCGUUAUCCGGAUUCAUUGGGUUUAAAGGGUCCGCAGGCGGGAAAAUAAGUCAGUGGUGAAAGCCUACAGCUCAACUGUAGAACUGCCAUUGAUACUGUUUUUCUUGAGUAUAGAUGAAGUGGGCGGAAUAUAUCAUGUAGCGGUGAAAUGCAUAGAUAUGAUAUAGAACACCGAUUGCGAAGGCAGCUCACUAAACUAUUACUGACGCUCAGGGACGAAAGCGUGGGGAGCGAACAGGAUUAGAAACCCUAGUAGUCC
rnacentral:rRNA from 1 species